CCAGCAGCCGCGGUAAUACGGGAGUGGCAAGCGUUAUCCGGAAUUAUUGGGCGUAAAGCGUCCGCAGGCGGCCUUGUAAGUCUGUUGUUAAAGCGUGGAGCUCAACUCCAUUUGAGCAAUGGAAACUACAAGGCUUGAGUGUGGUAGGGGCAGAGGGAAUUCCCGGUGUAGCGGUGAAAUGCGUAGAUAUCGGGAAGAACACCAGUGGCGAAGGCGCUCUGCUGGGCCAUAACUGACGCUCAUGGACGAAAGCCAGGGGAGCGAAAGGGAUUAGAUACCCCUGUAGUCCUGGCCGUAAACGAUGAACACUAGGUGUCGGGGGAAUCGACCCCCUCGGUGUCGUAGCCAACGCGUUAAGUGUUCCGCCUGGGGAGUACGCACGCAAGUGUGAAACUCAAAGGAAUUGACGGGGGGCCGCACAAGCGGUGGAGUAUGUGGUUAAUCGAUGCACGCGAAGAACCUACCAGGGUUUGACAUCUGCGAACCCUGAGAAAUCGGGGGGUGCCAUCCGGGAACGCAGUGACAGGUGGUGCAUGGCUGUCGUCAGCUCGUGUCGUGAGAUGUUGGGUUAAGUCCCGCAACGAGCGCAACCCACGUCUUUAGUUGCCAGCAUUCAGUUGGGCACUCUAGAGAGACCGCCGGUGAUAAACCGGAGGAAGGUGUGGAUGACGUCAAGUCAUCAUGCCCCUUACAUCCUGGGCUACACACGUACUACAAUGCUACGGACAAAGGGCAGCAAGCUCGCGAGAGUUAGCAAAUCCCAUAAACCGUGGCUCAGUUCAGAUCGUAGGCUGCAACUCGCCUACGUGAAGGAGGAAUCGCUAGUAAUCGCAGGUCAGCAUACUGCGGUGAAUACGUUCCCGGGCCUUGUACACACCGCCCGUCACACCAUGGAAGUUGGCCAUGCCCGAAGUCGUUACUCCAACCCUUGUGGAGGAGGACGCCGAAGGUGGGGCUGAUGACUGGGGUGAAGUCGUAACAAGGUAGCCGAU
rnacentral:rRNA from 1 species